CUCCCUCAUUAAGGAAAUAAAUUCCACUAAUGAACUUAACAAGGAACACCUGUUAAUUAAAAUGUAUUCCAUUUUGACGGCCUAGACAGAAUGGCUAUAUAAGGAAUGGAACAUAUAGGACAAAGGCCCUGCUACCAUCAUAACCUAUACAGCUGUCAGAUGUGGGUGUUAACAAGCAAGAACUGAGAUGUAAAGAUAAUGGUGGAGAAAGGUCAAGAGGAGUUAUUUUAGGAUAGAGGGAGGGGAUUCCAUAUGUUAAGUAAAGACAGAAUACUUUAAAGGCAGGGCUUGCUAUGAUUGUGAUAAAGUCUAAUUGAAUCUACAAGUUCCAGUAUCUGUGCAAUUCAAUUAAUGUGAUCAGCAAACAGAAAUAUACUCAAACUAAAAACAGUAAUGGACUGAUUAUAUAUCCCUGUGGAACUCCACAAUAGAUUCCCAAGAGGGGAUGAGCAGUAAGAGAUACAUAUAAUUCAAUAAUAAUUGUGUUGUCCCACAUUGGCAAAUAUUCUUGUUUCUUAGCUCUUCAGCACUGUAUAAAAGAUCAAACAUGUCUACUGUGAACAUCGAUAAUGGAAAAUCUGAAAAACAGAUAGAAGAAUGAAAGACAGGGGAGGGAGAGAACCGAGGAAUUGAGCAGAAAAUAUCUCUAUAUCAGUAUCUGUUAAAACCUCUAGAGGGCGGUCUAUACAAAGUCUCCCUCCCAUUUAUCCCUUCAGACACUCAGCUCUGGAAUUUUCAUUAUAGGCGGCUUGGACUGACAUUACAACAAGUCCUGCACUAACCUGACUAUCACUGAACAAUGAGGACUGUCUGGAGUUUUUUAGUCAUGGUGGUGUUCAUACACAGUGUUUGUUGUGAUGUCAGACUGGAUCAGUCAAGGAGACUGUUAAAUUAUCAUGAAAAACAUCUGGGUUUACAACGCCAGACUAUUAUAUAAACUGGAUAAGGCAGCAACCAGGAAAAAGGCUGGAGUGGAUUGGUAAAAUUAUGGUUUAAGCUCUGCUAAGUGCUCAAACUGCCUGAAAGGCUGGUUCACCCUGACUGAGGAUGUCUCCAAAAACACACAGUUCUUAGAGGCCAAGAUUCUAUGAGCAGAAGACUCUGAUGUUUAUUAUUGUGCUGGACAGACACAGUGACUGGAGCUGGUGAAGCAGCUGUACAAAAUACUCAGCUCCAGUCUCUGUUAACAUCAGUCCGAUGUCCCCACCAACACUAUAGGACGGAGUAGAAACAUCAUACUGUAAAUUAUAACCCACAUUUUUUUUAUCACUUGAAAAGCAUAAAAUAUACCUGACAACCUGUCAAGAUAACUGUAUGAAUAUCCUCAUGAACACUUUAUAGCCAUUCAUUGUAUGUUGACAAUGGCAAAUAAGCCAAAAACAGUUUUAAUAAUAUAUGCAGUCCAUCUGUCAAAUUAAUAAUCAAUCUCUAGCAGCUAAAACCAUUAAUUUGGUCAUGUCUUUCAAUUUGGGGUACUUAUUUGUGUGAAACCAGAUUUCAAAUUUCAGUGUAAUGCCUUUCUUGCAAGCUCCAAACAUAACAAUGCAGUAAUCAAUAUCAAUGUAGCACAAAAAAUAACAUAAGGUAGAACAAAAACACACAAGAUAUAAAAAUAAGAAACAUGAAGAACAUGGGAAAGAAGAGAAGCUACUGUAUAUACAGUCAGUUGCAAGACCAUAUUUACAAUGUGCAGGGAUACAGCCAUUAGCCAUUCUAGCCAUUCUCUAGCCAUUCUGUUAGCUAUUUAGCAAUCGUAUGGCUUGGGGAUAGAAGCUGUUCAGGAGCUUUUUUCAGACUUGAUGCAUUGUUACUGCUAGCCAAGCGGAAGCAGAGAGAACAAUAUACGGCUUCGGUGGCUGGAGCCCUUAACAAUUUAUUUUCCGAGCCUUAUUUUCACAGAGGUUCUGGAUGGCAGGGGGCUCGGCCCCAGUGAUGUACUUGGCUGUCUGCACCACCCCCUGUAGCACCAUGCAAUCAAGGGCAGUGCUGUUGCCAUACCAAGAAGAGAUGCAGCCAAUCAAGAUGCUCUCAUAUGGAACUGUGAUGAUCAUUCAUGUUAAAGAGUAAUGGAACAAGUAUGGUACAAGUUUAUUGCAUUAAUCCCAAUAGAUUCUGUCAUCCUGUGCUGGGUUGGUGGUGUGACAUCAGAAACAGCAAGCAUAGCGAGUAACAGCUAGUUACAGCAGGAGAGCAGCAAGAGACACCAGCGCAUGGGAGUGUUGACAUCUGACUUAUAGUGUAGGAAGCAUGUGUAGAGCUGGUCAACUUAAAUAAACCUCAUGUAAUUAGAGUGUGAAUCCAAUUGGUGCAAUAUCUGCUGAAGCAAACAGCUGAUGCCACCACACUCUGGUUUCCCUUCUGAACUGGCUCCGCUUUAUACGUAUCUUUUUCAAGACACCUUACUUACAUUCACCUGUAUAUGAGCCUAAUCCAAUUCAGAGUUGUAAUUACUGGUAGAUGUAAAUGAAUGUCCUCAUUAAGUGUACUGAAAUAUACAAUGAAGAAAAACCACAACAUGUAAAGUAUUAGUCCAAUGUUUCAUGAGCUGAAAUAAAAGAUCCCAGAAAUUCUC